rnacentral:misc_RNA from 1 species
CAACCCUCAAGGCCCCAGUGGCUUGGUGUUGGCGACGCGGCCGGUCUCAGCGCCGGCCGCCGCCGAAAUGCAGGGGCGGUCGCCUCGCGGCAACCAUUACGCAGUAGUAACAUCUCGUAACUGGGACGCGGGGCGGCCACGCCUAACCCACUCAUUUUUUAG